UAUGGCGAGAAUGAUUCCCGCGUCUGCCCAGCGGCAGGCCAAGCGAUGUGAUUUGUCCGGUGGGCAAAGCCUGCCGGCUUACUCUACAGGUGAAUAACCAGUUCCUAUAAGCCAGCUACUUAGAGAAAACCGGGAAAUUGGUUUUGAACGGCUUGGUAAAACAAAGCUACCUCUUCUGUCGGCGCCCAGACACUCCGCUGAUUUGCAAGACGGGCCGUCGUGACUUGCGCGUGUUGAACAUGCAUAUUUCGACUAACUGGGUACUGAAUUCUGUGAAGGUGAGCGUUGCGGCCUGAUCAAUUUCCGGUAAUCGGUAUUGGGGCACUCCCAAACCACUCCUAAUUGUGACGAAACAGUCAUAAACAAUUGGCCGAGCUUUCCGGCGUGCAAGUGAACGAUCUGCAUCGCGAGACUAUUAAUGAUUUACAAUUGUCACCAGCAUUUUCUGCAAGACAUCUGCAAAACCGUAGGGCAAAUGUCUAUGGCCUAUGUCUACUUAACAAAUAGAUAAAUAAGCUCAAUGUUAGUGCAUGUUGCUUGAAUUUUUCAAUCGGUAUGUGAUAGCACUUGCAGAGAAAGAACGAAUAGAUAGGACUUACCCAGUAGCGUCUAAUUUCGUAGAGAAAUAUUUUCCACUGUGUAUGAGAGUGUGCUGAAAAAUGGGUGGGGAAAAGUUUAGAAAAAUCCUGAUUGCGCAGUAGAUAUAAACUACAAUUUGAAAAUAUAGUCAGAGCCAAGUUACACUAGAUAAGUUUUAGGUUAAGGUAAAGAUACCUUGUGUUAGCAAAUACUUAAAUAUAUAUUAAAAACAACAAUCUUUUUACACGCAAAUAAAUCUGAAAUAUCAGAUAAGAUUCGAAA